CGAAGCGGCGAGCGCCGGUCGGCCGAGCCAGGCUGGCGCCCCCACCCCCCAGCCCCGUACCUCUGUCGGUCGCCAGUCCGGCGCCUCCCCAGCUCCACUUGCCUUCGCCACCCCCGGCCCUGGGGCCGCACUCCCUUCCUUCCCUCCGUCCCGCCCCGUCCAGCCCGCGGUGCCCGGCUCCCUGAGGCCCCCUCGCUGCCCGCGUUCCUAUGGACAGACGCACAGACACCUGCAGGAGAGACACUGCUGAUCCUGUAACAUGGAGGAUUGCCUUCAUACCUCAUCUGAGAAUCUAUCCAAAUUGGUCAGCUGGGCCCACAGCCAUGGGACCAUUUGCAGCCUCAUUCCAAACCUGAAACAUUUGCUUUCGGAAGGUUCCCAUGGGAACCUGACAGCAAUGUGGGGCUGUAGUGCUGGCCAUGCUUAUCACUGGCCACUGACAGCUACUUGCAGAGCUGGCUCCCAAGAAAGGGUCUGUUUCCAGGAUAACAGAAGUUUUAACUCUGAUAGUCCUAGUAUAAUUGGAGUGCCCUCUGAGACACAAACUAGCCCUGUUGAAAGGUACCCUGGGAGACCCGUGAAAGCAAAGCUAGACUGUAAUCGGACCAGAGACUCUUGCGAUUUCUCUUAUUGCAGUGAGCCUUCUGAACUGGAUGAAGCUGUUGAAGAGUAUGAAGAUGAAAACACUCUGUUCGACAUGGUUUGUGAGUCUUCUGUUACAGAUGAGGAUAGUGACUUUGAACCCCAAACCCAGAGGCCUCAAAGCAUUACUCGAAAAAGGCCUGGAAUAGUCCCAUCUUCUCUCCAUUCAAGCUCCCAGGCUCAGAUGAUUGAUGAAUGCAGCAGUGAUGUCAUCAUUAAGAAAAUCAAACAGGAGAUUCCUGAAGAUUAUUAUAUUGUGGCAAAUGCAGAGCUGACCGGAGGGGUAGAUGGACCAGCCCUGUCAUUGACACAGAUGGCAAAACCUAAGCCACAGACUCAUGCUGGUCCCUCCUGUAUAGGGUCUGCUAAGCUGAUUCCCCACGUAACAUCUGCCAUCAGCACCGAGCUAGACCCACAUGGCAUGUCUGCGUCCCCCUCUGUGAUGUCCAGACCAAUCAUCCAGAAGACUGCCAGGGUAUCUCUGGCUUCACCAAACAGAGGACCCCCUGGUGCCCACGGCACCAACCAGCAGGUGGCCAUGCAGAUGCCUGUGAGCACAUCCCAUCCUAAUAAACAGAUCAGCAUCCCUUUGUCUGCCCUGCAGCUGCCUGGACAGGAUGAGCAAGUUGCUUCUGAAGAGUUCCUGUCCCACCUGCCCAGCCAGGUCUCCUCCUGUGAGGUAGCCCUUUCUCCCUCAGUUAACACAGAGCCAGAAGUGAGCUCCAGUCAGCAGCAGCCCCCAGUCGCUCCAACCAUAACCACCGAGGCCACGGCACAGUGCAUUCCAGCCUAUUCUACUAAGCUCAACAAAUUUCCUGUAUUUAAUAUUAACGAUGACUUGAAUGAUCUGUGUACCAGUGCAGUGAGCCCCAAUACUACCAAGGCCACACGGUAUGCCCUGAAUGUGUGGCGAUAUUGGUGCAUGACCAACGGGCUCAAAGAUCACACAGACAUCACCAAGAUCCCUGCAGUGAAGUUGAACGAGCUGCUCGAGAACUUUUACGUCACCGUGAAGAAGAGUGACGGCUCAGACUUCCUGGCCACGUCGCUCCAUGCCAUCCGCCGAGGCCUGGACCGCAUCCUGAAGAAUGCGGGUGUGGGCUUCUCCAUCACCAGCAGCACCUUCAGCUCUUCCACCAAGAAACUCAAGGAGAAGCUGUGGGUGCUGAGCAAGGCGGGGAUGUCAGGCGCCCGUUCUCGCAACAUCGUCUACUUCUCCCUUUCGGACGAGGAGGAGAUGUGGCAGGCAGGGUGUCUGGGGGAUGACAGCCCCAUCACGCUCCUGUCCACCGUGGUCAAGUACAACAGCCAGUACCUGAACAUGCGGACGCUGCAGGAGCAUGCGGACCUGAUGUAUGGCGACAUCGAGCUGCUCAAAGACCCGCAGAACCAGCCCUAUUUUGCCCGGACAGACAGUGUCAAGCGGGAGAGUCGGAGUGGUUCCACCAGAGUGUGUCACGGGAAGAUCUACCACGAGCACUCCAGGGGACACAAGCAGUGCCCUUACUGCCUCCUCUACAAGUACAUGUACAUCCACCGGCCGCCCACCCAGAUGGACGCCAAGUCCCCUUUCUACCUUACCGCCAGGAAAGAGGCCACCGACCUGGGCAGCGUGUGGUACGAGGAUCAGAGGAUGGGACUGCGGUCUCUUCGGGGGAUUGUCCCGAACUUGGCCAAGAAGGUCAAGCUGGAAAACUGUGAGAACUUCACCUUCGUCUCAUUCACUCAGGUCUCCAGGAGGCUUGGCUCCCACAGCUGCUGCCAGUGAGUCUCCCGCUGCCCGGCUCACCUGGUAGCCGAGCGUUCCCUCCACAGCCACGGCCACAGCUCCGAGGCGCCAGGGGAUGCCCGUGACUUCAUGGUCAGGCUGGUCCCUGUCUGUGUGACUUCCUCCCCUUUGACUUUGGGUUUGUUUGUUUGUUUGUUUGUUAACUGAAAGUAGAUGAGUGACUAUUUAGGAUGUUUUAUCCAAAUGUGUAUCACCUUCGUUAAAUUAUAGAGUCUAAUACAAUGUAUAAAUUGCCACGUACAUAAGAGUGGGGAAAUUCAUUUUAUCUAGUGCCUUUUUAGCACAGAUUUUCUCAAAAAGAAAAAAGAAAAAAAAAGAAAACUGUUUAAGUAGUCAUUUAAAAAAAAAAAAUCCCAGUAGCCUCGUAGCUUUAGAACGUUAUGAAGAUUAUAAACCCUUUGUUGAAUUACACUCACAGUGAGGAACUAAGAAGAGAGGGGCAGACAUGUUAACCAUUUUUCCAGGAGAAAAAUUGCACUUGGCACUCCUCUUUAUGUUUGGUUGACGGAUGACUGGGUCCCGCAGAGCCAGCAGCCUUGCUUGAUGGCAGGUCCUAGAGCCGCACUCAUUCAUGCUGACAGGAAGGCGGGGGCUGCUCUGGCUGGUCCCAGCACGGGGAGGAACUGCAUCAGUAGAGACAGUUUGAUGAGAAAAGGUUAACGCGCCAAAUGAUGUUUGUGAGAACAAGGUUUCCAAUCAACUGGACAGUUUGUACCAUGAGGGAAUUUCCAGCAGUGAGAGAAAGUGGCUUGGAAAAGUGGUCUGUGAUCAAAACGUGAAAAACCUCCUGAAGCAGAAGUGCCUACGUUUUCUUUCUCAGCAUCGUGUGAAAGCCGUUUUCAUCUAAACAUUUUUUAGAGGGUUUUUUUUUUUUUUUCCUGAAUCUGUUCUUUGGGUUAUGCAGUUUUUCUAUCAGGAUAUAGCACUGGAUCUGUAAACCAACUAGAGGUAAUUUUCAGGCUUAACCAGGAAAACCCAACAAAACAAGCUGCAAAGAAAACAAAUCCCAAAUGUGUUUCUUAAAGAGUUUUUGAGAUAUUUUUGUCAAAGUGUGACUUUUUCAGCCACAAGAGACGUCAUCGUUUUAGGUUGGCACCAGUGCUUGGGACAUGACGAUGUAGACAAACUCCCAGCCUUACUAAAGGCAUCAAGCGCUAUACCCACCCUAUCGGCCUGUUCAUGGACAGCUGUUGAGAGAACCUGAGUAAAACAAUCCCUCCUGGAGACGCAGAAGCCUCCGGCUAUAGAAGAGAGAUCACCAGACUGGCAGCACCUCCGCUACUCCCUUGGCAGAGGCCGGGCUCACUCUCCGGAGCUGCCAAGUGAGGUCACUGGAAGGAUUGUUUCCACAGUGAGCAGUGUUACAUUCCUGCCAUUCCUCAAGGCCAUUUCGUUAGGAAGUGGCAAAACUAGGAGGCAGAAUUCCCAGUUCCUCAAACUCAUCUGAUGAAUCUCCUAAAUCAGUGCUUCUUGCUAUCCUGGAACGCUUUCGCUAGGAACGACAAUUUUCUUGAAUUUUCAAGUUUCCCUCCUAAAGUUAUUUUGCUGUCUCUACAGGCAGCCGAAUGUUGAUUGUUUUUCUCCGAUUAGGCUGACGCUAACCACAUGGUUGCCACUUAAAUAAACCGAAUGUUUAAAUACUACGCUUAUCAAACACGCAUCCCUUUGCUGCUUUUAUUGAAGUCUGGAUUGCUCUCCGUUUUUGAGCUAGUACCCAGUUACCUUUAGGCAUCAUGAAGUGCAAACAGGGAAGACCUCAAAGAAGAGGUCCCUCCUUUUCUCUACAGGAGCUCUCAUUUAGUCUAAGUGAAGGCCCACCACGCAUUUAGAAACUGUUAGCAAACAGCCCUGAACUGAAGAAUACAUUAAAAGUUUCAAAUUCAUUUUUCUCAUGAAAUGUUUUUGCUUUGGGGGUGAAUUUUUUGGGGGGGGGGCCCUACAUCCACAGCAUAUGAAAGUUCCCAACCUAGAGAUCCAAUCUAAGCCACAAGCUGCAACGCCUGCCCCUUCACCCUGUGCCACAGCGAGAGCUCCUCGGGUGAAUUUUUAACGCUCUGUAUUAAAAGAAAAACCAUACAUUUGUGUAGGCAGUGUUCUUAGGUAAAAAUCCUUGGAGAGCUUUCCCAUGAAAAUGAUCACCUUCACAAAAACAUGAGGGAGGGGAGAGAUUGGUGGUGACCUAAGAAACGCCCUUUCUGAAAGAACAGGAGGCUGAGUGGGGUGAAAAACUAGCUUAUCUCUGGAAAUUCCUCUGUUUCCACAUAGCCUGACAUCACCGGAUUUCCCAAAGCUCCUUUGAGGGGGGCCGCCCAUCCUUCUGGCAAAGUUGGCCUAUGAUGAUGACGAGUUGGAGCUCUUCUAGUCCUUUAUAGGCAAAGAAAUCCAGACACGUUCCUUAUAUUUUCACUGUUGAUCAGAAUCAGAUUUUUACGCUCAAUCAAAGUGCAUUCAUAUUGAAGUUAAUAACUCCAGGACAUUUUUUAAGACCCCCCCCAAAAAAUCACUGGAUUAUAUGUAGAUGCAUAUUGCUUCCAUUAUUAUUAAUAGCAAUUAGGUAGUUCCUGCUGCCCCACUGAGAUGAGACUGGACUCCUAAAUACUUUAUGGUCAGUAUACCUGAUUUGACUAAUUUACAUGUCACCGUAGUUACGAAUUCAUUCACAUCGGUUUCUGGAAGAUUCAGAUUUGACUAACACUAAAGUGUUAGCUCAUAGCGCCCUUGUAUUUUCAUUUAAUUCUCACAACAGCUCUGUAAGGUAGGUCUCAUUAUUCCCAUUUUACUUGCUGAGAAACCAAGUCUCAGAGAAGUUAAGUAAAUUUCCCAAAGUCUCCCAGAGCUAACAAAUUGGAGAACUUAAGUUUGAGUCCUGGUCUUCUGACUCCAAAUCCAGUGAUCAAACUGCCUUUUUAGUCCCAAAGAAGUCCAUUUAUCACAGAACUUUUAAAAAAUUAUGUCACUCGUUAUAUGUACUCUUGGAGUAAUUUGAUAUAUUGGCAUUAUUUAAUAGUUCCUAGGAGUUCCUACUGCAGUGCAGUGGGUUAACAGUAAAACUGCAAA